rnacentral:rRNA from 1 species
GUAGGUGGCAAGCAUUGUCCGGAAUUAUUGGGCGUAAAGCGCGCGCAGGUGGUUCUUUAAGUCUGAUGUGAAAGACCCCCGGGCUCAACCGGGGAGGGUCAUUGGAAACUGGGGAACUUGAGUGCAGGAGAGGAAAGUGGAAUUCCACGUGUAGCGGUGAAAUGCGUAGAUAUGUGGAGGAACACCAGUGGCGAAGGCGACUUUCUGGCCUGUAACUGACACUGAGGCGCGAAAGCGUGGGGAGCAAACAGGAUUAGAUACCCUGGUAGUCCACGCCGUAAACGAUGAGUGCUAAGUGUUGGGGGGUUUCCGCCCCUCAGUGCUGCAGCUAACGCAUUAAGCACUCCGCCUGGGGAGUACGGUCGCAAAGACUG